rnacentral:rRNA from 1 species
AAGCAAUGUGUAAUGAACGUCGUUCUAUUAUAACAAAAUAAAACUUUCAACAACGGAUCUCUUGGCUCUCGCAUCGAUGAAGAACGCAGCGAAUUGCGAUAAGUAACGUGAAUUGCAGAAUUCAGUGAAUCAUCGAAUCUUUGAACGCAGCUUGCGCUCUCUGGUAUUCCGGAGAGCAUGCCUGUUUCAGUGUCAUGAAAUCUCAACCGCUAGGGUUUCCUAAUGGAUUGGAUUUGGGCGUCUGCGAUCUCUGAUCGCUCGCCUUAAAAGAGUUAGCAAGUUUGACGUUAAUGUCUGGUGUAAUAAGUUUCACUGGGUCCAUUGUGCUGAAGCGUGCUUCUAAUCGUCCGCAAGGACAAUUACUUUGACUCUGGCCUGAAAUCAGGUAGGACUACCCGCUGAACUUAAGCAUAUCAAUAAGCGGAGGAAAAGAAACUAACAAGGAUUCCCCUAGUAACUGCGAGUGAAGCGGGAAAAGCUCAAAUUUAAAGUCUGGCGGUCUCCGGCCGUCCGAGUUGUAAUUUAGAGAAGCGUUAUCCGUGCUGGACCGUGUACAAGUCUCCUG